rnacentral:rRNA from 1 species
UACGAGGGGGGCAAGCGUUGUUCGGAAUUAUUGGGCGUAAAGGGCGCGUAGGCGGUGCGGUAAGUCACCUGUGAAAACUCUGGGCUCAACUCAGAGCCUGCAGGCGAAACUGCCGUGCUUGAGUGUGGGAGAGGUGCGUGGAAUUCCCGGUGUAGCGGUGAAAUGCGCAGAUAUCAGGAGGAACACCAAUAGCGAAGGCAGCUCGCUGGGACGGUACUGACGCUAAGGCGCGAAAGCGUGGGGAGCGAACAGG